ACAGAGCUGGAGCCGGGCUUCCCUACACUGAGCCCAGCCCGGUUCCCAGCGGCGGUAGCAGCCCGUCGGCCUGGCUCGUACUCGCCUGCCCAGUGCGGGGCAGCCAGCUCCGCCCGCCCGCAGCAGGGCAAGGGCAGCCCCAGCCCGCUCAGGGUAGCUGCUGCGCUGCCCUCGGUGUCGGGGGAGCCCCGAGCCGGAAAGCAAACCGGCCACCAGGUCAACCCGGAGCCCCGACCUCCAAAGGCUGGCAGGAGGCGUUAACCCUUACCUGGAAGCAGCUGAUCCUAUCUCAUAGAGCUGGAAGGAACCCCGAAAGGAGUACAUCUGGACUAUCACAGUUCUGAAAAAAGUGCACAACCCCCUGGUCAUCAUUUGAAGAUCAUCACUGGAUAAUGGAGAACCUGAUUCAAAGGCAGCUGAAGUCAGAGAAAGUCUUUCCAUUACCUUCAAAGGCCUUCUAGUAGGUUCCUUAAUACCUAAACAAAUAGGGACAAAUUCCACACUGCGCCACUGGGGAGGCAGGCUGCAAAAGGUGCAGCCCACAGCAGGGGAAGGGCAAAGGCGGCUAAUAUACCAUCUUUGCAUUUACCUAAUUCUGGACUGCUCCACCCACCAGUGCACUCUCCGGCAUGAGCUUGACUAGCCAUUGGGGCUGCAAAAUUGAUGGCAGCUUUGCAUGGGUGUCUAUGGGCUAAAUUCACAGCCUAGAUUAGCUGGAAUGCUUUGUGCUCUGCCCAUUCCCCUCUUGUCCCUACACAGGGGGCACCCUAUGUGAAGACUCAAUAUUGCACAUACUGUACACGGUAGUUAUUUUUCAUAAUGAAUUUUAAUAGGUUCAAUUUUAGCAUGCAAUAUAGACAGCAGAACUAUAUAGUGAUACAA